rnacentral:rRNA from 1 species
GGAAGGACUGCCAUCGACAAGAUGGAGGAAGGUGGGGAUGACGUCAAGUCAUCAUGGCCCUUAUGUCCAGGGCGACACACGUGCUACAAUGGCCGGCACAACGGGAAGCGAGUUCGCGAGGACGAGCGGAUCCCUCAAAGCCGGUCGCAGUUCGGGUUGAAGUCUGCAACUCGACUUCAUGAAGCUGGAAUCGCUAGUAAUCGCAGAUCAGCCAAGCUGCGGUGAAUACGUUCCCGGGCCUC